rnacentral:lncRNA from 1 species
GGGGCCGCCGGCCGGAGCCCCGGGGCGGGGCCGAGCGUGUCCGGGAGCGUUACGUCAACCGGCCCGGCGGUCCCCCGGCCAGCGCCCCGUCCUCCUCCAGCCCGGCCAGUGGGGCAGAGGUGGCCAUGUGGGCCUGCAAGAACCCGGCCGUCCUCUUCUGCCGGGACGGGCAGCCCGACACCAUCUCGGAGGCCACCUUGCAGGCCAAAGCGGACACGGUCGACACCAGCCUCUGAAGGGAUCGGGGUGCCCGGACGCAAAGAGGGGUUUAGCCACGGGGUCAUCUCCCUGAGGAAAUACCUGGCAUUUGGAGCUGUUUGCAGCCAGGUGCUUUCAGCUUAAAAAUACUAAGAAUGUGAGAAGUAAGAGCUCUUCAGACCGAACUGAGGAAAAGGGUGAGGGUGUGGACUGUGGUAUCGCUGGGUCCGUGCGCAAGGUGUGCGUUUUCUGUUUGAGGUCGUCUCACAUCUCUAACAACGGUCUAGCCGUAUUUAGAGGAGCCGUGCGAGAGAGGGAAGUAUGUGGAAGGAGAGGCAGAGCAAUAGCGUGUGUUCUUUGUGUGCUUCAGCGUGCAGAAGCGUGUAUAUGCACCAAACCGGUAUUACUGGCUUGAUGGCAGCCAUCUGUUACUAGAAUGUGAUGUUUAAAAACCAGCUCUGUUUGCCACUGAAAAAUGAAAACGCUACCCUACAGUUAGAGAGAGUGCUGUUGCCCAGCAUUAAUUCAUAUGAAUUUAUUGAUAUAAAUUUUUGCCCACAGGCUCAGGGGCCUAAAGCCUUAAAUUAGUAUUUUGAAUCAGAUAUUAAGAUUGAGCCUUCCUUUAUCGUCACUAGACUUAAAUGAGAAAGAAAGGCAGUGUUUUUCUUGUGCAAUAUUUAAACAUGCAGUGUUACUGUGUUACCCGUUUUUUUCAGCUGUUGGUGACUCAAGUGAAUAUACUAUCAUUAUUUUGUAAGUGAGACAAGAAAUAAAUUAUCUUUUAUGCAGAAGAUUAAAGUGUCU